rnacentral:rRNA from 1 species
ACCUGAACUCAAACGUGGCUACCCGCUGAACUUAAGCAUAUCAGUAAGCGGAGGA